rnacentral:misc_RNA from 1 species
GCGAAAUGCGAUAAGUAAUGUGAAUUGCAGAAUUCAGUGAAUCAUCGAAUCUUUGAACGCACCUUGCGCUCCUUGGUAUUCCUUGGAUCAUGCCUGUUUGAGUAUCAUGAAAUCUUCAAAGUAAAUCUUUUGUUAACUCAAUUGGUUUCUACUUUGGUAUUGGAGGUCUUUGCAGCUUCACACCUGCUCCUCUUUGUUCAUUAGCUGGAUCUCAGUGUUAUGCUUGGUUCCACUCGGCGUGAUAAGUUAUCUAUCGCUGAGGACACUGUAAAAGGUGGCCAAGGUAAAUGCAGAUGAACCGCUUCUAAUAGUCCAUUGACUUGGACAAUACUUUUAUGAUCUGAUCUCAAAUCAGGUAGGACUACCCGCUGAACUUAA